GCCUGGGUGGCUCAAUGCGUUGGGCGUCUGACUUUGGCUCAGGUCAUGAUCUCAUGGUUCGUGAGUUCGAGCCCCGCGUCAGGCU
rnacentral:tRNA from 1 species